CAAGGAAUAGUUUAACUGAGAAUACUAGCUUUGGGAGUUAGCGGUGGGGGUUCGAAUCCCCCUUCUUUGA
rnacentral:tRNA from 1 species